AUUACGAACAACGUGAUAGUGCGGUUAAACGAAUUGUUUCUUAAAAGUUAAUUUCGAAGUUUAUUACAAACAAAGCUAAAAUACCGCGAAUCCGUGAGAUUAGUCCGAUUCAUAGUGCGUGAAUUUGCGCUAACAUACAGCUUGAGUGGUCGUUAAGCAAGGAAUAGACUCCAAGGAGCUCACUAAAUUCGAUUAAAAUCGAGGGAACACUAUUUUCUUGAAGCGCUUAAUAAAACUUGCUAUCAAGAAGAGUGUUUGCCUGUGUAGUUCUACGAGAACAGAU